rnacentral:rRNA from 1 species
GGUGAGUAACGCGUAGGUAACCUGCCUUGUAGCGGGGGAUAACUAUUGGAAACGAUAGCUAAUACCGCAUAACAAUGGAUGACACAUGUCAUUUAUUUGAAAGGGGCAAUUGCUCCACUACAAGAUGGACCUGCGUUGUAUUAGCUAGUAGGUGAGGUAACGGCUCACCUAGGCGACGAUACAUAGCCGACCUGAGAGGGUGAUCGGCCACACUGGGACUGAGACACGGCCCAGACUCCUACGGGAGGCAGCAGUAGGGAAUCUUCGGCAAUGGGGGCAACCCUGACCGAGCAACGCCGCGUGAGUGAAGAAGGUUUUCGGAUCGUAAAGCUCUGUUGNAAGUUNNANAACGAGUGUGAGAGUGGAAAGUUCACACUGUGACGGUAGCUUACCAAAAAGGGACGGCUAACUACGUGCCANCAGCCGCGGUAAUACGUAAGUCCCGAGCGUUGUCCGGAUUUAUUGGGCGUAAAGCGAGCGCAGGCGGUUUGAUAANUCUGAANUUAAAGGCUGUGGCUCAACCAUAGUUCGCUUUGGAAACUGUCAAACUUGAGUGCAGAAGGGGAGAGUGGAAUUCCAUGUGUAGCGGUGAAAUGCGUANAUAUAUGGAGGAACACCGGUGGCGAAAGCGGCUCUCUGGUCUGUAACUGACGCUGANGCUCGAAAGCGUGGGGAGCGAACAGGAUUANAUACCCUGGUAGUCCACGCC